rnacentral:tRNA from 1 species
AAGAUGUUAGUAAAACCAUUAUACUGCCUUGUCAAGACAGAGUUGCGAGAUAACCCCUCGCACAUCUUA